CGCAUGAUGUGACGCAUCCCUUAGCACUCGAGUGAAGUUAGCCCUUCAAUCGGAUCCAUUCACAUGAGCGACUGCUUUCAGUUCCAUUUCAAGUUCAAGCCUUGGCUGAC
rnacentral:snoRNA from 1 species